UCAAAACAGCGGACUUCGGUCCUUGCUGCACCCUUGUCUUUUGCGCACCGUAUUGUUUCCUCGGCGGGCUUGCCUGCCGGUUGGACAUUAUCAAAACCUUUUUGUAGUUGCAAUCAGCGUCAGAAAAACAAUAAUUAUUA
rnacentral:misc_RNA from 1 species